rnacentral:rRNA from 1 species
GACGAACGCUGGCGGCGUGCCUAAUACAUGCAAGUAGAACGCUGAAGAGAGGAGCUUGCUCUUCUUGGAUGAGUUGCGAACGGGUGAGUAACGCGUAGGUAACCUGCCUUGUAGCGGGGGAUAACUAUUGGAAACGAUAGCUAAUACCGCAUAACAAUGGAUGACACAUGUCAUUUAUUUGAAAGGGGCAAUUGCUCCACUACAAGAUGGACCUGCGUUGUAUUAGCUAGUAGGUGAGGUAAUGGCUCACCUAGGCGACGAUACAUAGCCUGCCUGAGAGGGGGAUCGGCCAAACUGGGACGGAGACACGGCCCAGAAUCCUACGGGAGGGAGCAGUAGGGGAUCUUCGGCAAUGGGGGCAACCCUGAACGAGCAACGCCGGGUGAGUGAAGAAGGUUUUCGGAUCGUAAAGCUCUGUUGUAAGUCAAGAAAGGGUGUGAGAGUGGAAAGUUCACACUGUGACGGUAGCUUACCAGAAAGGAACGGCUAACUACGUG